UACGUAGGCAGCAAGCGUUGUUCGGAGUUACUGGGCGUAAAGGGCGUGUAGGCGGUUUUUUAAGUUUGGUGUGAAAUCUCCCGGCUCAACUGGGAGGGUGCGCCGAAUACUGAAAGACUAGAGUGCGGGAGAGGAAAGUGGAAUUCCUGGUGUAGCGGUGAAAUGCGUAGAUAUCAGGAGGAACACCGGUGGUGUAGACGGCUUUCUGGACCGUAACUGACGCUGAGACACGAAAGCGUGGGUAGCAAACAGG
rnacentral:rRNA from 1 species